rnacentral:misc_RNA from 1 species
GUAUAAAUUUUUUUGUUACAUUCUAAGGACAUACAUUAGAUGAGAUUAUAAAAGACAUAGAAUCCUCUUUCAAGGGUUAUCUACAAUUGGUGCACAAGUGUGGAAAGUGUGGUAGACGUGCACAUGCUAAGAAUGAACCUAGCCAGCGACAGUCCUUGUGUAUUCAAUAAUGAUCCUUCCGCAGGUUCACCUACGGAAA